rnacentral:rRNA from 1 species
AUUGAACGCUGGCGGCAGGCUUAACACAUGCAAGUCGAGCGAGAGGCGGACGGGGGAGCAAUGUCUGGGAAACUGGCUGAUGGAGGGGGAUAAAUGCUGGAAACGGUAGCUAAUACCGCAUAACAUCAGAUGUGACCAGAUGGGAUUAGCUAGUAGGUGGGGUAAAGGCUCAACUAGGCGACGAUCCCUAGCUGGUCUGAGAGGAUGACCAGCCACACUGGAACUGAGACACGGUCCAGACUCCUACGGGAGGCAGCAGUGGGGAAUCUUGCACAAUGGGCGCAAGCCUGAUGCAGCCAUGCCGCGUGUGUGAAGAAGGCCUUCGGGUUGUAAAGCUCUUUCAGCGAGGAGGCGUUACUCGCAGAAGAAGCACCGGCUAACUCCGUGCCAGCAGCCGCGGUAAUUC